AUUGAACGCUGGCGGCAGGCCUAACACAUGCAAGUCGAGCGGAUGAAGGGAGCUUGCUCCUGGAUUCAGCGGCGGACGGGUGAGUAAUGCCUAGGAAUCUGCCUGGUAGUGGGGGAUAACGUCCGGAAACGGGCGCUAAUACCGCAUACGUCCUGAGGGAGAAAGUGGGGGAUCUUCGGACCUCACGCUAUCAGAUGAGCCUAGGUCGGAUUAGCUAGUUGGUGGGGUAAAGGCCUACCAAGGCGACGAUCCGUAACUGGUCUGAGAGGAUGAUCAGUCACACGGGAACUGAGACACGGUCCAGACUCCUACGGGAGGCAGCAGUGGGAAUAUUGGACAAUGGGCGAAAGCCUGAUCCAGCCAUGCCGCGUGUGUGAAGAAGGUCUUCGGAUUGUAAAGCACUUUAAGUUGGGAGGAAGGGCAGUAGGUUAAUACCUUGCUGUUUUGACGUUACCAACAGAAUAAGCACCGGCUAACUUCGUG
rnacentral:rRNA from 1 species